GGCGGUUCUUGGGUGACACACCCCAGAAUUGGGCUCCCUCCUUUCUGUUUCCGGGUGCAUCAACCCAGAACCACA
rfam:Myotis lucifugus cont2.13222, whole genome shotgun sequence.